rnacentral:rRNA from 1 species
AACGAACGCUGGCGGCAUGCCUAACACAUGCAAGUCGAACGAGACCUUCGGGUCUAGUGUCGCACGGGUGCGUAACGCAUGGGAACCUGCCCUUAGGUUCGGAAUAACUCCCCGAAAGGGGUGCUAAUACCGGAUAAUGUCUUCGGACCAAUGAUUUAUCGCCUUUGGAUGGGCCCGCGUUGGAUUAGCUAGUUGGUAGGGUAAAAGCCUACCAAGGCGACGAUCCAUAGCUGGUCUGAGAGGAUGAUCAGCCACGCUGGGACUGAGACACGGCCCAGACUCCUACGGGAGGCAGCAGUGGGGAAUAUUGGACGAUGGGCGAAAGCCUGAUCCAGCAAUGCCGCGUGAGUGAUGAAGGCCUUAGGGUUGUAAAGCUCUUUUACACGGGAUGAUAAUGACAGUACCGGGAGAAUAAGCUCCGGCUAACUCCGUG